rnacentral:rRNA from 1 species
ACCGGCGCCUCAAGUGGUAGUCGCUUUUAUUGGGCCUAAAACGUCCGUAGCCGGUCUGAUACAUUCGUGGGUAAAUCAACCAGCUUAACUGGUUGAAUUCUGCGAGGACGGUCAGACUUGGGACCGGGAGAGGUGUGGGGUACGCUCAGGGUAGGGGUAAAAUCCUGUCAUCCUGAGCGGACCACCUGUUGCGAAGGCGCCACACUAGAACGGAUCCGACGGUCAGGGACGAAGCCUAGGGGCACGAACCGG